AGAGUUUGAUCAUGGCUCAGGACGAACGCUGGCGGCGCGCUUAACACAUGCAAGUCGAGCGAUGAAAAAACAACAGAAACCUUCGGGUAGACGAUGUUUUGGAUUAGCGGCGGACGGGUGAGUAACACGUGAGUAACCUGCCAUCUACAAGGGGAUAGCCUCGAGAAAUCGGGAUUAAUACCCUAUAGGACCAAUUCUUCGCAUGAAGAGAAGGUAAAAGAUUUAUCGGUAGAUGAUGGACUCGCGUCCCAUUAGCUAGUUGGUGAGAUAAAAGCUCACCAAGGCAACGAUGGGUAGCCGGCCUGAGAGGGUGAUCGGCCACAUUGGAACUGAGACACGGUCCAAACUCCUACGGGAGGCAGCAGUGGGGAAUAUUGCACAAUGGGGGCAACCCUGAUGCAGCGACGCCGCGUGAGCGAAGAAGGUUUUCGAAUCGUAAAGCUCUGUCCUAUGGGAAGAUAAUGACGGUACCAUAGAAGAAAGCCCCGGCUAACUACGUGCCAGCAGCCGCGGUAAUACGUAGGGGGCGAGCGUUGUCCGGAAUCACUGGGCGUAAAGGGUUCGCAGGCGGCCAGACAAGUCAGUUGUUAAAGGCUAAGGCUCAACCUUAGUAAGCAUCUGAAACUGUUUGGCUUGAGUAGUGGAUAGGCAAGUGGAAUUCCUAGUGUAGCGGUGAAAUGCGUAGAUAUUAGGAGGAAUACCGGUGGCGAAGGCGACUUGCUGGACACAAACUGACGCUGAGGAACGAAAGCGUGGGGAGCAAACAGGAUUAGAUACCCUGGUAGUCCACGCUGUAAACGAUGAGUGCUAGGUGUCGG
rnacentral:rRNA from 1 species